GCUCCCGGAUGUUAGCGGCGGACGGGUGAGUAACACGUGGGUAACCUGCCUGUAAGACUGGGAUAACUCCGGGAAACCGGAGCUAAUACCGGAUAGUUCCUUGAACCGCAUGGUUCAAGGAUGAAAGACGGUUUCGGCUGUCACUUACAGAUGGACCCGCGGCGCAUUAGCUAGUUGGUGAGGUAACGGCUCACCAAGGCGACGAUGCGUAGCCGACCUGAGAGGGUGAUCGGCCACACUGGGACUGAGACACGGCCCAGACUCCUACGGGAGGCAGCAGUAGGGAAUCUUCCGCAAUGGACGAAAGUCUGACGGAGCAACGCCGCGUGAGUGAUGAAGGUUUUCGGAUCGUAAAGCUCUGUUGUUAGGGAAGAACAAGUGCAAGAGUAACUGCUUGCACCUUGACGGUACCUAACCAGAAAGCCACGGCUAACUACGUGCCAGCAGCCGCGGUAAUACGUAGGUGGCAAGCGUUGUCCGGAAUUAUUG
rnacentral:rRNA from 1 species